GACGAACGCUGGCGGCGUGCUUAACACAUGCAAGUCGAACGGAAAGGCCCUGCUUUUGUGGGGUGCUCGAGUGGCGAACGGGUGAGUAACACGUGAGUAACCUGCCCUUGACUUUGGGAUAACUUCAGGAAACUGGGGCUAAUACCGGCUAGGAGCUCCUGCUGCAUGGUGGGGGUUGGAAAGUUUCGGCGGUUGGGGAUGGACUCGCGGCUUAUCAGCUUGUUGGUGGGGUAGUGGCUUACCAAGGCUUUGACGGGUAGCCGGCCUGAGAGGGUGACCGGGCACAGUGGGACUGAGAUACGGCCCAGACGCCUACGGGAGGCAGCGGUGGGGAAUAUUGCACAAUGGGCGGAAGCCGGAUGCAGCAACUCCGCGUGCGGGAUGACGGCCUUCGGGUUGGAAACCGCGUUCGCCUGGGACGAAGCGUGAGUGACGGUAAUGGGUAAAGAAGCACCGGCUAACUACGUG
rnacentral:rRNA from 1 species